AGGAGACUAUGCUGUGUAAAGACAUUAGGCCUACAAGAAGGAUAUUGAGAGCAUGUUCGGAAAUAUUAAGUUUAUGAGACAUCUUCGGUAUCACAAAUAAUUAAGUGGACGGUGAAAGGUCAACAUUGAAGGGUUAAAGAAAGCCGAGGUCGACGGUACAAGGCAGACACGACGCGAACAAACACAAGAUGGAAUGCAGUGAACAAGCUAAGCAUAGCCUUAAUGCUGCUUAUUUAAUAAAAAUACAACAUUAUUAUAA